UGUUGCCCUUUCGGGGGUACACUAGCGGCGAACGGGUGAGUAACACGUGGGUGACCUGCCCUCAGCUCUGGGAUAAGCCUGGGAAACUGGGUCUAAUAGCCGCUAGAUUAUUCCCAUUCUCCAUCUGCACAUGGUGGGUGGUGUAAAGUUUUUUCGGCUGGGGAUGGGCUCGCGGCCUAUCAUACGUUGUUGGUGGGGUGAUGGCCUACCAAGGCGACGACGGGUAGUCGGCCUGAGAGGGCGACCGGCUACCCUUGGAUUGAGACCACGGCUCAGACUCUUUACGGGAGGCAAGCAGUGGGGAAUUAUUGCGCCAUUGGCGGAAGCCCUGACGCAUCAGGACGCCGCGCUGGGGGUAUGACGGCCUUCGGGUUGUAUAACCUUUUUUGACCGGGACGAAGAGUGAAUUGACGAGAUACCGUUAGAAGAAGACACCGGCCAACUACAGUGCACAAGCUGCCGCGUUAACACGUAGGGUGCGAGCAUUUUUCCGGAAUUUUUGGGCGAUAAAGAGUUCGUUGGCGGAUGUGUCGCUUCGGCCGUGAAAACCUGGGGGUUAACUCUGGGCUUGCGGUCGAAUACGGGCCAUCACUGGAGUUCGCGCGGGGGAGACUGGAAUUCUUGUUGUAGCGGUGAAAUGCCGCAGAUAUCAGGAGGAAACCCCGGUGGCGAAGGCUGGUUCUCUGGGCCGAUUUUGCCGUUGAGGAGCGAAAAGCGUGGGGAGCGAACAGGAUUAGAUACCCUGUUAGUUCCACGCCGAUAACGUUGGGGGUUAGGUGUGGGGGCCAUUUCUCCGGUUUUUGUGCCGCAGGCUAAAGGCAUUAAGCGCCCCCGCUUGGGGGGUACGGGUCGCAAGGCUUAAAACUUCAAAGGAAUUGACGGGGGCUCGGCCCAAGCGGUGGACCAUUGUGGUUUAAUUCGAUUGCCAACGGGAAGACCCUUACCUUGGUUUUGCCAUGCCCCAGCCGCAUCCAGAGAUGGGUGUUCCCUUUGUGGUUGGUGUGCAGGUGGUGCAUGGCUUUGUUCAGCUGGUUUCGUGAGAUGUUGGGUUAAUUCCCGCAACGAGGCCAACCCUCGUUCCAGGUUGCCGGCGGGUAGUGGCGGGGAUUCAUGGGAGACGGCCGGGGUCAAUUGGGGGGAGGGUGGGGAGGACGCCAAGUCAUCAUCCCCCUAAUGCCCAGGGCUUCACCCAUGCUCCAUUGGGGGGUCCGGAGGGUUGCGGGCCCGUGAGGUGGAGGGAAUCCCUUAAAGUUUGUCCCAGUUGGAUUCGGGGUCGGCAACUCGCCCCCGUGAAGUUGGAGUCGUUAGUAAUCCCAAAUCAGCACCGCUCCGGUGAAAACUUUCCCGGCCCUGGUACCCCCCCCCCGUCCCUUCAAAAAAAUUGGUACCACCCAAAGCCGCCGCUUAAACC
rnacentral:rRNA from 1 species